UGGGAAGAUGCUGUGCCUCGAGGAUUAGUUUAAACAGGGGGCUAUAAAAGAUGUAACAGAUGCAAACUGUAACACAAGGGCCAUUAACCCUUUCUCUGCCGGGCACACUCAGUCCCCACGCCCCACACCUAUUGUCUCCUGUGCUAGAAGCUUUGCAGAAAACCUGGAAAGGGAAAUCCUGAAAUAAAGAAAUGGUCACACAAGUGUCUGGGAUGAAACAGCUGGCCUGUCUAUAUUCAUCCUGAGACACACGACUGCAUAUAAAUACAUGUUUAAUAAAGUAUUUGCCAAGUCCUAAUUGCUGAAUAUAAUGAAUUGGAACUAGAUGCGAAAAUAGAGCAGGACCUCUCCCCUUGAUGAGUUUUUAUUCCAGCCAUAUAAUUCUCAAUAAAACUUUUCCUGGGCUGGAUAGCAAAGGACACCUUUGGUUACCUGAAUGAACAGGUACAGGGGAAAUUAUUUGGGGGAGGGAAAAAGGAGAGAAAAGCAAGGAGAGAGAGUGUGAGUGUAAGAGAAAGCGAAGAAGCCACUCUUGAGAAAAGCUUGCCAUAAAGGAGCUAAACCCACCUGAAAUUCCUACCCACGGACACCCCUUCUCACUUCAGACUCACAUCCCCACUCAAAAUGAGAAAAUUAGAAAAGGAGGAUGGAGGACGAGCACACCAAAAAGGGAUAAAAAGAGAGAAAAGGGGAGGAAAAAAAACCUACCUGCGAAGUCUUGUUUGUAGUUUUGGCCAGAAAUGGUGAGAAGAAAAAGCAUGAAGAAGCCGCGAAGUGUGGGGGAGAAAAAGGUGGAAGCGAAGAAACAGCUCCCGGAGCAAACUGUACAAAAACCUCGCCAAGAGUGUCGGGAGG
rnacentral:lncRNA from 1 species